rnacentral:rRNA from 1 species
UAGUCCACGCCGUAAACGAUGCUUACUCGCUGUUGGCGAUAUUACUGUCAGCGGCCAAGCGAAAGCGUUAAGUAAGCCACCUGGGGAGUACGCCCGCAAGGGUGAAACUCAAAGGAAUUGACGGGGGCCCGCACAAGCGGAGGAGCAUGUGGUUUAAUUCGAUGAUACGCGAGGAACCUUACCUGAACUUAAAUGGUGGACGACGGUUGCAGAAAUGUGACUUUCUUUUAGGGCUACACACGUGCUACAAUGGGUGAGACAGAGGGUUGCCAAGCCGCGAGGUGGAGCUAAUCUCAGAAACUCACUCCCAGUUCGGAUUGGAGUCUGCAACUCGACUCCAUGAAGGUGGAAUCGCUAGUAAUCGCGCAUCAGCAAUGGCGCGGUGAAUACGUUCCCGGACCUUGCACACACCGCCCGU